UACGGGAGGCAGCAGUGGGGAAUAUUGCACAAUGGGCGAAAGCCUGAUGCAGCUAUGCCGCGUGUAUGAAGAAGGCCUUAGGGUUGUAAAGUACUUUCAUCGGGGAGGAAAAAACAAAACUAAUAAUUUUAUUUCUUGACGUUACCCGAAAAAGAAGCACCGGCUAACUCCGUGCCAGCAGCCGCGGUAAUACGGAGGGUGCUAGCGUUAAUCAGAAUUACUGGGCGUAAAGAGCACGUAGGUGGUUUUUUUAAGUCAGAUGUGAAAUCCCUGGGCUUAACCUAGGAACUGCAUUUUGAAACUGAAAUACUAGAGUAUCGUAGAGGGAGGUAGAAUUCUAGGUGUAGCGGUGAAAUGCGUAGAUAUCUGGAGGAAUACCUGUGGCGAAAGCGGCCUCCUAAACGAAUACUGACACUGAGGUGCGAAAGCGUGGGGAGCAAAACAGGGAUUAGAUACC
rnacentral:rRNA from 1 species